rnacentral:rRNA from 1 species
GCGACGCCGCGUGUGGGAUGAAGCUCUUCGGAGUGUAAACCACUGUUGCCCGGGACGAACAGCUCGAUUUCUCGAGCCUGACGGUACUGGGUGAGGAAGCACCGGCUAACUCCGUGCCAGCAGCCGCGGUAAUACGGGGGGUGCGAGCGUUGUCCGGAAUCACUGGGCGUAAAGGGCGCGUAGGUGGUUUGAUAAGGGUGUGGUGAAAGUCCGGGGCUCAACCCCGGAUCUGCCGUGCCGACUGUCAAACUCGAGGACUGUAGAGGCAGACGGAAUUCCGGGUGUAGCGGUGGAAUGCGUAGAGAUCCGGAGGAAGACCGGUGGCGAAGGCGGUCUGCUGGGCAGUUUCUGACACUGAGGCGCGACAGCGUGGGGAGCAAACAGGAUUAGAUACCCUGGUAGUCCACGCCGUAAACGAUGGGUACUAGGUGCCUGGGGGAGCGACCCUCUGGGUGCCGGCGCUAACGCAGGAAGUACCCCGCCUGGGGAGUACGACCGCAAGGUUGAAACUCAAA